UAGUGCUUCUGCGUCUUUAUAACGACCAUAAAAAGCUGGCUGAAACUGAUGUGAAAUUACUUUCAGAGCGAGCUGCCAUGUUGGGUCACACUGCUUCCUGAAAAGGUUUAUUCCUGUGUUUUCUCAGGGAGGUCCGUUAACGUUUCUGUUCAGCUGGACCGUUUCUGCAUUAUCGGUGGUUUCUGGAUUAAAUUCUGCACCGUUAAUUGGAGGUGACUGCAGGAUUUGGCCAAAAUGGAAAGGAUCCAUCAAAGACCAGAAACCCUGAAAAUUGAACAGGAACCUGAACUCAGCUGUGUGUCUGUGAAGAGUGAUCGGUCAAAGGAAGCCAUCGUUGUUUUCCAAGGAAGUGGAUCUCCUUCAGAUGAUGAG